UGCUCGAGUGGCGAACGGGUGAGUAACACGUGGGUGAUCUGCCCUGCACUUCGGGAUAAGCUUGGGAAACUGGGUCUAAUACCGGAUAGGACCAUCGUUUAGUGUCGGUGGUGGAAAGUUUUUUCGGUGUGGGAUGAGCUCGCGGCCUAUCAGCUUGUUGGUGGGGUAAUGGCCUACCAAGGCGUCGACGGGUAACCGGCCUGAGAGGGUGUACGGCCACAUUGGGACUGAGAUACGGCCCAG
rnacentral:rRNA from 1 species